CUAUUAUGCCGUGCAAUCCUUCAACACAAACAGGGAACAAUACCACCAGAAGACAGAGAAAAGAGUUACGGUCAUAGAUGUGAGAACUGCUAACCCACCCAGCCACAAUGGAGUUCAUUGAAACACAUGCAGCACUAUGUGGGAGCAUCAUGGUUUAAUGCAACCAAUUUCUCUGCUCUGGUGAUUUCAAAGAGGGAAAGCCAUUAAAGGAAUGGCAAUAUCAAAGAGUAUCCUGACCAUCUUUGCCCUUCUUGUGGCAUUACUUAUUUUGGAAACAAAGAAGAUCAACUAUUUUUCUGGUUCAGUUUUACCGGAACACCAUGAAGAACAUUUCCUACCCCACAAGCGGGAAAAAAGGAGUGGUAAUUCUAAUAAAUUCAAAUGACAUUGACUCAGCAGUUGAAGAUUUAGAAAAUGAGAGUUAAAUCUGUUUCAAAUCUGUGGGUGUAUUGACUUUUUUACCGCAAGUAAACAAACUCAAGUUCCUGCAUGCUUCUUUGCUACAACAUGGAAAACCACAUAAUAAGAGCCAUUUUCACGGUGCUUUUGAUUAUAGUGUAGAAUCAGCAGCUUGACACUAGCAUACUUCACUUCUGUCAGCUGAGGAGGAGACAGAGGAAAGCAUACCGUCCUCGCGACAGGACAAGGGAACGAGCAUGCACAGAACAGAAUAAUUUAAAGUGGAAUGAACGUAUACAUCAGAGGUGUCCAAAGUUUGUCCUCAAGGACCACUGUCCUACAGGUCUUGGAUGUUUCCUGCUGCUGCACACCUGAGUCAGAUUGAUGAGUCAACAUGCAUGUGCAGAACUUGACAACAAGCUGUUGAAAAGAGCCAUUUAAUUUGAAUCAGGUGUGUUGGAUCAGAGAGACUCUAAAACCUGCAAGACUGUGGCUCUGAGGACCAGAGCUGGACACCCUUGGUACAUGAAUGUUCAUUUUCAUUCAGAAGUAGGUGUUUAUGAGUUCAUUUUUAAUCUUUUUAAAGAAGAUUUCAUUUUUGUUCUGAAUUAAAGAGGAAUUAAAACUCAAAUGUAAACUUGCCCAUUGUUAUGUUUUUGGCAUGCACGCAUGCAGGCAGAUAGAAAUUAAUGUUAAAAGAAUAU